AUUGAACGCUGGCGGCAGGCCUAACACAUGCAAGUCGAGCGGAUGAAGGGAGCUUGCUCCUGGAUUCAGCGGCGGACGGGUGAGUAAUGCCUAGGAAUCUGCCUGGUAGUGGGGGAUAACGUCCGGAAACGGGCGCUAAUACCGCAUACGUCCUGAGGGAGAAAGUGGGGGAUCUUCGGACCUCACGCUAUCAGAUGAGCCUAGGUCGGAUUAGCUAGUUGGUGGGGUAAAGGCCUACCAAGGCGACGAUCCGUAACUGGUCUGAGAGGAUGAUCAGUCACACUGGAACUUAGACACGGUCCUGACUCCUACGGGAGGCGGCAGUGGGGAAUAUUGGACAAUGGGCGAAAGCCUGAUCCAUCCAUGCCGCGUGUGUGAAGAAGGUCUUCGGAUUGUAAAGCACUUUAAGUUGGGAGGAAGGGCAGUAAGUUAAUACCUUGCUGUUUUGACGUUACCAACAGAAUAAGCACCGGCUAACUUCGUG
rnacentral:rRNA from 1 species